GCGUGCAUUAGCUAGUUGGUAAGGUAAAGGCUUACCAAGGCGAUGAUGCAUAGCCGAGUUGAGAGACUGAUCGGCCACAUUGGGACUGAGACACGGCCCAAACUCCUACGGGAGGCAGCAGUAGGGAAUCUUCCACAAUGGACGCAAGUCUGAUGGAGCAACGCCGCGUGAGUGAAGAAGGUUUUCGGAUCGUAAAGCUCUGUUGUUGGUGAAGAAGGAUAGAGGUAGUAACUGGCCUUUAUUUGACGGUAAUCAACCAGAAAGUCACGGGCUAACUACGUGCCAGCAGCCGCGGUAAAAU
rnacentral:rRNA from 1 species